rnacentral:rRNA from 1 species
AGAACGAACGCUGGCGGCAUGCCUAACACAUGCAAGUCGACCGUGAUCCAGGCUUCGGCCUGGUGAAAGUGGCAGACGGGUGAGUAACGCGUGGGAACCUGCCCUGUGGUAGGGAAUAACCGUGGGAAACUGCGGCUAAUACCCUAUGAGUCCUUCGGGAGAAAGAUUUAUCGCCAUAGGAGGGGCCCGCGUCGGAUUAGGUAGUUGGUGGGGUAACGGCCUACCAAGCCUUCGAUCCGUAGCUGGUCUGAGAGGAUGAUCAGCCACACUGGGACUGAGAUACGGCCCAGACUCCUACGGGAGGCAGCAGUGGGGAAUAUUGGACAAUGGGGGCAACCCUGAUCCAGCAAUGCCGCGUGGAUGAUGAAGGCCUUCGGGUUGUAAAGUCCGUUUCGGCGGGGAAGAUGAUGACGGUACCCGCAGAAGAAGCCCCGGCUAACUUCGUGCCAGCACGCCGC